rnacentral:rRNA from 1 species
GCACAGGCGGUGGAGUAUGUGGUUUAAUUCGAUGCAACGCGAAAACCUUACCUACCCUUGACAUGCUAGGAACUUGCCAGAGAUGGCUUGGUGCCGAAAGGGAACCUAGACACAGGUGCUGCAUGGCUGUCGUCAGCUCGUGUCGUGAGAUGUUGGGUUAAGUCCCGCAACGAGCGCAACCCUUGUUCAUUAAUUGCCAUCAUUCAGUUGGGCACUUUAAUGAGACUGCCGGUGACAAACCGGAGGAAGGUGGGGAUGACGUCAAGUCCUCAUGGCCCUUAUGGGUAGGGCUUCACACGUAAUACAAUGGUCGGUACAGAGGGUUGCCAACCCGCGAGGGGGAGCCAAUCCCAGAAAACCGAUCGUAGUCCGGAUUGCAGUCUGCAACUCGACUGCAUGAAGUCGGAAUCGCUAGUAAUCGCGGAUCAGCAUGUCGCGGUGAAUACGUUCCCGGGCCUU